rnacentral:rRNA from 1 species
CAGUAGGGAAUCUUCCGCAAUGGGCGAAAGCCUGACGGAGCAACGCCGCGUGAGUGAUGAAGGUUUUCGGAUCGUAAAGCUCUGUUGCCAGGGAAGAACGUCCGGUAGAGUAACUGUUACCGGAGUGACGGUACCUGAGAAGAAAGCCCCGGCUAACUACGUGCCAGCAGCCGCGGUAAUACGUAGGGGGCAAGCGUUGUCCGGAAUUAUUGGGCGUAAAGCGCGCGCAGGCGGCUAUUUAAGUCUGGUGUUUAAACCUUGGGCUCAACCUGAGGUCGCACUGGAAACUGGGUGGCUUGAGUACAGAAGAGGAAAGUGGAAUUCCACGUGUAGCGGUGAAAUGCGUAGAUAUGUGGAGGAACACCAGUGGCGAAGGCGACUUUCUGGGCUGUAACUGACGCUGAGGCGCGAAAGCGUGGGGAGCAAACAGGAUUAGAUACCCUGGUAGUCCACGCCGUAAACGAUGAGUGCUAGGUGUUAGGGGUUUCGAUACCCUUGGUGCCGAAGUUAACACAGUAA